rnacentral:sRNA from 1 species
GCGUGUAGGAUAACGUUGCGUCAGCAACGGCCCGUAGGGCGAGCGAAGCGAGUCAUCCUGCACGACCCACCA